CAGAACAUGCAGUCUAGGAACCGGCAUGCGCAUAACCUCAGGAUAUAAAUAAUGCUGAAGCAGAGUUACGUUUUUUUUGUUGUUGUUUUUUUUGUUUUUGUUUUUUUAGGUUUCCGUGUGUUUCUAUUGAGCUGCUCAGUGCCCGGCUUAGAAGACCAGGAAAAGGAGUCACAGGUCGUAUGCUGGAGGCUUGAGCCGCGGCACCGUGGCGCGGCUCGCCUCGCUGCGGUUGGUGGUGGCGGUGGACAUUGCAGCGCGGCUGGAGGGGUAGGAAGAAGAAGAUAGUUUUGGGAUAGAUAGAGGGGUCCUUAGACAAGGUGCAAGACAAACAGAAGAGGGCAUGUGGGGUCAAACUCGCUAGCUGCCUGCCUGAUUUUUCUGCACACAGGUGAGAUAUUCCUGCACAUCCUCUGGUGACCCCAGAAUGAGGGGGACUCGCUGGUGAAUUGCCUCGGGCUUCACGUCCAGUACAGGCUGGGUCCCCGUGGUCGCCAAGCCUCCUGCCUGCUCAAUGAUGUAGGCCACGGGAUUGCAUUCAUACAGGAGCCGGAGCUGUGGAGGAACAGAGGCAGGGACAAAUUCACCAAGAGCCUAGCAACAUGAAGAGAGAUGCCAGGAAGAAGAGAGAAGCCAGGAAACAAGCCAACCGCACAAUCCCCACAUCAGAGCAGGAGAAGAUGGGGGCCUGCUGGCAGAGCUGGGGCUUGGCUGUGGUCACUCUGAACCUGCUCUUUGGUGUUUUCAUGAGUGGUGGGAAGAAUAGGGACCAUAUGGAGCCCACACAGGAAGCUCUAGCAGUAACACAGCAAGCAGGAAGACAAUUCUAAGGAAGCAGCCCAUAGUCUUCUUUCUUUUCCUGUGCAUCUUCCACUGUCAGUGAGGCUCCUCAUUUAUGGUGAACCCAACUGUGUGUAUCUCCCAAGUUCUCACCCGCAGAUUAAUGUUUUCAGGAAGAUAGGCCAUCAACAGUGAGAGGAAGAAGUUACAUUGUCGUAUGAGGGAUGCAUUUUAACCAUUAAUUUGUGGUACAGGCUGGGCGCAGUGGCUUAUGCAUGUAAUCCCAGCACUUUGGGAGGCCGAGGUGGGUGGAUCACGAGGUCAGGAGAUCGAGACCAUCCUGGCUAACAUGGUGAAACCCCGUCUUUACUAAAUAUACAAAAAAUUGGCCGGGCGUGGUGGUGGGCACCUGUAGUCCCAGCUACUCGGGGGGCUGAGGCAGGAGAAUGGUGUGAACCCGGGAGGCAGAGCUUGCAGUGAGCCGAGAUCGCGCCACUGCACUCCAGCCUGGAUGACAGAGCAAGACUCCAUCUCAAAAAAAAAAAAAAUGUGUGGUACAGUUAUUUUGUUUAUGUUAGUGAUUCAAUCAUAGAAACUAUUCAGUUUCUGGUAUCCCACUCUUACCUGGAGAAAAGAGGAAGCCGCUUUCAUCAGACACUGUGUUCACCCAGCGUAAGGAAAAAGUUGGUAAAAUCUAAAGGAAUCCUCAGACAUAUUAAUAAAAGUGUGCCCAGUCCCUCUCCACAACCCAUGUAGCCACUGUGGUCAGUACCUGCAGGGCAUCUCUCAAAUACCCCUAUGUCUAGUUCUGGUGAUAUCAGUCACUAAAAAUGGGAUCAGCUUGUGGCAGAUACCACCUUAAAUGCUCAUGUCUGUCUCAGUCACUAGGAGGAAAACCAGAGCCUGGAAACCAGAUCCAUUUUGAUGAAUGUCCAAGAUUUUGAGAGUGAAAAACUCCAAAAUGACAGCUCACAGUUGGCAGCUAGGCCAGAAGGUUCCCAAGGAACAUCAGAGGUAUUCCCGGAAUAUAAAGAGGCAAGGCCACAGAAUGACUCCACAUAGCAGAGGUGUUGCUACGAGAGGUGACACUGUCCCUGUCAGAAACAAGUCAGUGCCAAGGAGACUCAAUAACAAAAACAACUAAACAAUCCUUUCCUGCCUAA
rnacentral:lncRNA from 1 species